AGAAUACUCCCUCCGUCCGAAAAUACUUGUCAUCAAAAUAGAUAAAAAGAGAUGUAUCUAGAACUAAAAUACGUCUAGAUACAUCCCCUUUUAUCCAUUUUGAUGACAAGUAUUUUCAAACGGAGGGAGUAUAUU
rnacentral:pre_miRNA from 1 species